UCUACGGAGAGUUUGAUCCUGGCUCAGGACGAACGCUGGCGGCGUGCUUAACACAUGCAAGUCGAGCGGUAAGGCACUUCGGUGUACACGAGCGGCGAACGGGUGAGUAACACGUGAGUAAUCUGCCCUUCACUCUGGGAUAAGCACUCGAAAGGGUGUCUAAUACCGGAUACGACCAUUCCUCGCAUGAGGUGGUGGUGGAAACUUUUGUGGGUGGGGGAUGUGCUCGCGGCCUAUCAGCUUGUUGGUGGGGUAAUGGCCUACCAAGGCUUCGACGGGUAGCCGGCCUGAGAGGGUGACCGGCCACACUGGGACUGAGACACGGCCCAGACUCCUACGGGAGGCAGCAGUGGGGAAUAUUGGACAAUGGGCGGAAGCCUGAUCCAGCAACGCCGCGUGAGGGAUGACUGCCUUCGGGUUGUAAACCUCUUUCAUCAUUGACGAAGCCUGAUGUUGAGUUGGGUGACGGUAGGUGGAGAAGAAGCACCGGCCAACUACGUGCCAGCAGCCGCGGUAAUACGUAGGGUGCGAGCGUUGUCCGGAAUUAUUGGGCGUAAAGGGCUCGUAGGCGGUUUGUCGCGUCGGGAGUGAAAACACUGGGCUUAACCGAGUGCUUGCUUUCGAUACGGGCAGACUAGAGGUAUGCAGGGGAGAACGGAAUUCCUGGUGUAGCGGUGAAAUGCGCAGAUAUCAGGAGGAACACCGGUGGCG
rnacentral:rRNA from 1 species